GGAGGAUGCAAGCGUUAUCCGGAAUUAUUGGGCGUAAAGCGUCGGUAGGCGGUUAAUCAAGUCUGUUGUCAAAGACUGCAGCUCAACUGUGGAAAGGCAAUGGAAACUGAAUAACUGGAGUGCGGUAGGGGUAGAGGGAAUUCCCAGUGUAGCGGUGAAAUGCGUAGAUAUUGGGAAGAACACCAGUGGCGAAGGCGCUCUACUGGGCCGUAACUGACGCUGAGGGACGAAAGCUAGGGGAGCGAAAGGGAUUAGAUACCCCUGUAGUCCUAGCUGUAAACGAUGGAUACUAGGUGUUGGACGUAUCGACCCGUUCAGUACCGCAGCCAACGCGAUAAGUAUCCCGCCUGGGGAGUACGCACGCAAGUGUGAAACUCAAAGGAAUUNACGGGGGCCCGCACAAGCGGUGGAGUAUGUGGUUUAAUUCGAUGCAACGCGAAGAACCUUACCAGGGCUUGACAUCCCUCGAAUCCUCGAGAAAUUGAGGAGUGCCUUCGGGAGCGAGGAGACAGGUGGUGCAUGGCUGUCGUCAGCUCGUGUCGUGAGAUGUUGGGUUAAGUCCCGCAACGAGCGCAACCCACGUCCUUAGUUGCCAUCAUUAAGUUGGGCACUCUGGGGAGACUGCCGGGGACAACUCGGAGGAAGGUGUGGAUGACGUCAAGUCAUCAUGCCCCUUACGUUCUGGGCUACACACGUACUACAAUGCUUCGGACAAAGGGCAGCAAGCGUGCGAGCGCAAGCUAAUCCCAUAAACCGAGGCACAGUUCAGAUUGCAGGCUGCAACUCGCCUGCAUGAAGGAGGAAUCGCUAGUAAUCGCAGGUCAGCAUACUGCGGUGAAUACGUUCCCGGGCCUUGUACACACCGCCCGUCACACCAUGGGAGUUGGCCACGCCCGAAGUCGUUACUCUAACCUUUCGAGGAGGAGGGCGCCGAAGGUGGGGCU
rnacentral:rRNA from 1 species